UUCAGUUUAAAAAAUAUGGCU
rnacentral:piRNA from 1 species